rnacentral:rRNA from 1 species
GACGAACGCUGGCGGCGUGCCUAAUGCAUGCAAGUCGAACGCACGCGCUUCGGCGCGUGAGUGGCGCACGGCUGAGUAACACGUGGGAACCCGCCCCCCGGUGGGGGAUAACGAGGCGAAAGUCGCGCUAAUCCCGCAUACGUCCGCAAGGGGAAAGCGCUAUCGCGCGCCGGGGGAGGGGCCUGCGGCCCAUCAGGUGGUUGGCAGGGUAACGGCCUACCAAGCCGAUGACGGGUAGCUGGUCUGGGAGGAUGACCAGCCAGACUGGGACUGAGACACGGCCCAGACUCCUACGGGAGGCAGCAGCAAGGAAUUUUCGGCAAUGGGCGCAAGCCUGACGGAGCAACGCCGCGUGCAGGACGACGGCCUUCGGGUUGUAAACUGCUUUUGGGUGGGACGAUCGUGACGGUACCACCCGGAAUAGCCCCGGCUAACUCCGUGCCAUCAGCCGCGGUAAGACGGAGGGGGCAAGCGUUGUCCGGACUCACUGGGCGUAAAGCGUGCGUAGGUGGUGGGAUGCGUCGGCGCUGAAAGCGCCCGGCUUAACCGGGCGAGCGGCGGCGAUACGAUCCGACUGGAGGCAGGGAGACGUUGGCAGAAUUCCGGGUGUAGUGGUGAAAUGCGUAGAGAUCCGGAGGAAUGCCGGUGGCGUAAGCGGCCAACGAGUCCUGACCUGACACUGAGGCACGAAAGCGUGGGGAGCGAACCGGAUUAGAUACCCGGGUAGUCCACGCUGUAAACGAUGUCGGCUGGGUGUGUGAUCGGGGGAACCCGAUGGCGUGCCGAAGCUUACGCGGUAAGCCGACGCCCUGGGGACUACGAGCGCAAGCUUACAACUCAAAGGAAUUGACGGGGGCCCGCACAAGCAGCGGAGCGUGUGGUUAAUUCGACGCAACGCGAAGAACCUUACCCAGGUUUGACAUGCCCCUGCAAGCGCACGGAAACGUGUGACCUUCGAGGGUGGGGCACCGGUGCUGCAUGGCUGUCGUCAGCUCGUGUCGUGAGAUGUUGGGUUCAGUCCCGCAACGAGCGCAACCCUCGCCGCCAGUUACACGUGUCUGGCGGGACUGCCACCUUGAUGGGUGGAGGAAGGCGGGGAUGACGUCAAGUCCGCAUGGCCCUGACGCCUGGGGCGACACACACGCUACAAUGGCCGAUACAGUGCGUCGCGGCUUCGCAAGAAGUAGCUAAUCGCCAAAAUCGGUCUCAGUGCAGAUCGGGGGCUGCAACUCGCCCCCGUGAAGGCGGAGUUGCUAGUAACCGCGUAUCAGCCAUGGCGCGGUGAAUACGUACCCGGGCCUUGUACACACCGCCCGUCACGUCAUGGGAGUGGCCAAGGCUUGAAGUCCGUUCGCUAACCGUUCGCGGAGGCAGCGGCCGAGGGCAGGGGCAGCGACUGGGACG